AACGAACGCUGGCGGCGCGUCUUAAGCAUGCAAGUCGAGCGGCAAGGUAGCAAUACCCUAGAGCGGCGGACUGGUGAGUAACGCGUGGGUGACCUGCCUUUGUGUUGGGGAUAGCAAUUAGAAAUAGUGGGUAAUAAAGAAUACGGUUACGGGACUAUGGUUCUGGAAAGAAAGGAGCUACGGCCCCGCACGAAGAUGGGCCCGCUUCCCAUUAGCUAGUUGGGGGUGUAACGGACAACCAAGGCGAUGAGGGGUAGCCGGACUGAAGGGUUGAACGGCCACAUUGGGACUAAGAUACGGCCCAAAAUCCUACGGGAGUCAGCAACUAAGAAUAUUACGCGAUGGACUAAAGGCUGACGGAGCGACGCCGCGUGGAUGAUGAAGGCCGUAAGGUUGUAAAGUACUUUUGUCAACGAAGAAUAAGUGUGGGAUGGAAUGCCCGCAUGAUUACGUUAGUUGGCGAAUAAGCCCCGGCUAAUUACGUGCCAGCAGCCGCGGUAA
rnacentral:rRNA from 1 species